AGCUGGAGAGUGAGGACGCAGCGACGACCAGGGAGAAGGCAAGAUUGAAGAAAAGGGAAGAAAGAAGAAAAGAGAAGACAGAGUGAAGGCAGACUAAAGAGGACUGAAGAUUGGGAGAAGAUCUGAGUGAAGAGGAGAGUGGAGUGAAGAACUCAAGAAAGAAGACCAGACGAAGCAGAAGGGAAAAAGAAUACCUACAGGAGAUCACAGGUGGGAAGUGAGCUGCUGAGGUUAGCUCCAGCUUGAACUGAUGACAUUUUAGAGGA